ensembl:lncRNA
CUCAAGAGCAGAAGAAGAAGAAUUUUGUCCCAGUAGACCUGUAUUUGAUGUAGCCUAUAGAUGGUAGCUGUCAUAAUCAUUAUGGCACGAAGGGGAAGUUUUCAGGUUUGUAAAAGCACUAUCUGCUCAUCAAAAAUGCUAAAACAACAUAAACAGACGAGGAAUCUGAAAGUGAAAGUUUUGUCUCUAUUAUAGGCUUGUGUGAGCAGCACAGAGUCAGAGUGGAAUGAACUCAGAGCGGUGAAGACACAGACCAAGCAAAACCAUGGAUGUUGUAAAUGCUGUGAAAAUGAUCGUACUGGUUUGGACUUUCGCAUCUGUCUGUGAGGCCAGUGAUGAUUCAUGUACCUUCAGUUCAAGCUGUGCUGAUGUGACUGGUACUGUGCAUGAAGAACUAACUCUCACUUGCAGCAUCUCACUGAACUGCACUAAAGAAGCUGAUCAGUGCUGCAUUAUAUCGUACAUGUUUAAGGAUGAAAACACCACAGUAAUCUACAAAAAGGAGUUUCCUAACAAGACCUCUCCUAACAAGACCUGUGAACAAAAGAUCAAAGCCACAUAUGUUUACAAAUCAAGUAAAAACAUCACAGCAAAAUUUACAUUAUUUUCCCAAACAAAUUGUGAGACAAAGGAAACAGAAUUCAUCGUUAACGUAACAGAGUCUGGAGAUAAACCCACCAAUACAGAUACUGUUAAGAAAGGUGAAGCAAAGCUGACAACAUCUGAGGUCACUGUCAUUGUGUUCGCCAUAAUUGUCUUCAUCAUCAUAAUGUUAAUCAUUUAUAGGAAAUACAAUCCCACAAUCCCUUGUCGACACCAGAGAGACUAUAAAACAGCUGAUUCUGCCACAAAAGAUGAUGACAACGGUGAAUAGUCAGAAUGAGCUUCUCAGCCGCACAGCUGGACUGUGUAGCAGUUGUGUUUCACAUCCAGUGCAGGUCAUGAGCCUUUAAACAUGUUUAUAAAAGUGUGUACAGAGGAAUCAUAACUGUCUGUGUUAUUUGGUCUACUCAGUGCACUCUUAUCCUAAGCUGUAUGUUCUGUUUUAUAUUGAUUUCUGUGAAAUAACAGAAUGCUGUCGAUCUGUUUGAUCAGAUUACUGUAUACAGUAAUUAUGUUGAAUGUUCUCAAGUCCUUACACUCUCAGAAAAAAAAAGGUACAAAAUCUGUCACUGGGACGGUACCAGUGUUGGGAAGGUUACUUUGGCAAUGUAACAGGUUACAGAUUACAAGUUACCCUAUUUAAUAAGUAGUGUAACUAUUUCAGUUACUUUAUUGGAGUUACUGAUUACAUUUGAUUACUUUUUGAUAACUUUUCUAAAUCUCUAAUGAAUGUUUUUAACUGGUAAUCAUUUUCAAACAUGUAAAUCAGGCAGGGUUAACCUCACACUAGAAAUCCCUGAUCACUUGAAUUAAGAUUAUAAUAAUGUUUUGGAAAAAAAUUUAAUCUUAAAAAAUAAAGCACAUACAUAAAACCA